UUUUAAAUGGACCGGGUUGCAUGUCAAAUGCCAACAAGAGAGACAGCUGGAGUAUCUAAACCAAGAGCUUUGAUCUUGGUAUCUGUAAAAAAGAGGUCAUUUGGUCUCCCCAGGAAGCACAGACAUUUAGAAGGUCCCUGUACAACUCAUGCAAGUAUUUUAUUAACAACAAUUUCUAUUCACAUUUAGUCGUAUUCACACUUCCAGUAGAAGCAAGAAGUUUGGGACUAAGCCAGGAUAAUCUAUGAGAAGAACAGAGUGACAGAUUAUUCUUUGCACUGAAGACAGAGGAUAAUGCAAGCAAGUUUCCACAAACUUGAGUACCUGGUUUUAGUACUCCAGAUGUCCGACAGAAUUCUGAUUGCUGCCACCAAACUGAUGCACACCCUGAGACACUAGUCAGGAUCUAUCUCAUAAGGGCUGGGUCAUCUCUGCUGACUUAGGAGUCAAAGCCUGGUGGACAACCCCAGGAGCUGUCAAGAAGCAGAAGAUCUUUGUUGAUAGGGAAAAAGAGGUCAUAUUCUAUAUGUCCUAUUUAACUUGUUCUUCAAAAAAGCCUGUCAAGAAAGAGUUAUGUGACCAAGAAGAAAGGUCUGGACCUCAGAUCUUCCCCAUACCGUCUGACUGCCCUGAUCUGUAGGCUACUGUCCACCUUCUUUAGUCAUACUCCCAGAUAUACAUCAACCCACUAAUAGCUAUGGCCAAAGCAUUCACUUGAGACAUGACUUGUUAGCUGCAGAACUGUUCAGACAGACUAAAGCCAAGACAACAAAACGGAUUGACUGGGUCAACACACUGCUAACACAGUACUAACAACUCAACACACUUGGAAAACAAACAGCAAAAUAAGUUCAGCUCUCUCCAAUCUUCCUUCAUCCAGAUGGUCUGGAAUCAUGAGACAAAAGAUCCAUACACACCGUGUUUCCCCUCAAGAGAUAGCUUAUUAAGGUUCUAUCUGAGGAAAGAGAUCUCUCAUUUGACAAGAGGAAUAAAGGAAGGACCAGGCAAAUUCCAAUUUGUCAUUCACAGGCACAUCCAUUUUUUGGUGCUGAUAUAACAAUUAGCAUAUCUGUGCCAAUGGCAAUUUGCUACUCUCUCUCUGUGCUGACUUUGGCUGUGUCUCAGCUGUAGGGAGAGUGAGCUCCACAGCAUUUUGCCACUCUGAGUUGCUCAGUUAUCCAUAUUACCCUCAUCUGAAAAGGAGGGCAGACGAUCAGACACAUGUGUACCCAUGUCUCUUACUAAUGCAUAGUGAAGAUGCGGUAAGCGCAGCCUAAGACCCAGAAGCUGGGAAAUGUUCCCACCUUUUGGGUGGAUCCAUUCAACUUCUGGAGGGUUUUGGUGAGAAGUCUGGCAUAAACUAUGUAAGUACAACAUAGCAACGCUACAUGCAUGAUUGAUGUAGAUUAUGACACCUCUCAAGAUGUUUCCCUCUCUCCUGCAAUGUCCCAGAUAUCUUAGCCAAGCAGAUGUUCACCAUUACUUUGAGCCAUGGAAAAAAUGUAGGAUUCACACUAAAAGAAAAAAUACAGAACAGGGAAGACAUCUGAACUAUUCUCUGUUUGCUCGGUCUUGCAAGUCAUGAGGAAUUUAUUUUUUCUGAGUCAGAGCUGGAACUGGAACACAGACACCUCACGUUCUGGAGGGACCUUGCUGUCCAGUACCUCCAGCCAUUAGGAACAUUGAGGUUUGCGUUCCUCACUCAAAAUACUGUCCUGUUUUUAUUUAGAAAAGCAGAACAUUUCUGUGAAACAGAGGAAGAAAGAAGAGAUCUUUCCGUCGAUAUUCUGCUCAGUUUCUUGUUCGAGCACAUUAUUGUGCCCAGUGUCUGCAGGAGGGAAGAAAGACCUCACUGCUCUUAAGACACAACGGCUGCUGGCUCCGUUGUCUUUCUGGGAGUAAUGUUUGUUCCGUAAUUAUAACCUUAUUUCACUCUCAGCCAUGAAGCUUUUGAUUUCUAUAAGAUUUCAAGGCUCAUUUCUAUCUAAUAUGAAAUACACGCCUCAAAAUUUUCCAGAAAAAUGGUUGGCAAUAAAAAUCCACUGUUGUCCAUUGUUGGCACAAAAGAAAGGCUGUUGGAACAUGGCAUGUAGCCAUUCCCUCCCACCAUUAGCAGUGUUGUCACUGACCCACAUAAAUGCAUUGUUGCCUGAAACAAAGAGAAUAAAGUUAUUCUGAACUGAUAAGGCUCCUCCCUGAUUAUUCCCUGCUUGGACUCUGUUACUAGAAAGAUGGUCCCCAUCUGACUUGGCUGUUCCUCUUGGAAUAACCCCAGAUCUUCUCUAUACUCCAAGUAAUUUGACAUGUUUUCUUCUCUCAGCAGCACAUUUACCCAUGAAGAACCAAAGAAGGAAAGCUCACUAGAGAAGGAAGGUCUAAACAGCUCUAUGACGUCUCACCUCAUCAGGAGAUAUAGUAAUCAGACAGGGUAAAUUUUAUUUAGCAACACACUCACCUGCUUACAACUGGUUUCAAAGAAAAUGUGGGUGCUGGAAAUGCUUUAAUUUCAGACUCUCGUGUGAGCAGCAAUGGUUAUUGCAUGCAGCUCCUCCUUCCACUUCAAGCCAAGCCAAGUGUCAUUACUCAGCUUGGGCUGCUCUCAUGCUAAAGACAGGAGCAGGUACUCAUUGACCUGGCUGCCCAUUGCAGGGACCCGGGAAGCCGGCUCUGUGGUGGUGCCGAUGCCUGGCUCCAUCCAUCUUUGCCAGGCCUGCAAAAGCUGCCAGUCGGUACAUUUUGUGCAGUCUCAGGAAAUGGCAGUUCUGCUGAAGGUCAGGGUUUGUGAAACAGACACCUUAUUUUAUUUUUUUCUUUUCCUUUUCUGGGGAUUUUUUUCCACUCCCUUCUCCAUCCUCACCCCACACUUUCCCUGGGCCUCUUCCAAGAACAACCCUGGUGCCAUUCUCUCCCACCAAAGGCACAAAGAGUUUCUUUUACCGACCCACUGGCUGUUCAGGAUACAAAGAAGUUAAACUAACAAUACGGCGAUGCAACAGCCCAUUACAGGCAGAUCUGGAUGAGUCACAGAAAUAAAGAGUAGGAAGGGAUUUAAGAGGCCACCUUCCCCUCUUCCCCAAGGCAGCAUAAUAAUUUUCUCCUAAUACAUUUUCCAGUGUCCCUGCUAUUUCUGCUCCCUUGGAGUACAGCAAGCUCUUGGUUUCUCCUCAGGAUCAGUAUUUAUUGCCAGGAUUUAUUACUUCUCAGAACAAGUUUGCCUAGUCCUUGUGCUUAGUAAGAGAAUACACCACCUUUAAUUGUGGAGUUUAACCCCAGAACAAAAUACUAUCUGAAAACAGCAUUUUAAGUGCACAUUUAAUCUUGGAAAGAGGCUAGUAUUCCACUCUGAAAGUGUUUCUGUUUAUAAGAUCUGGGUUGCCUAAUAGCUGAGCUUGGGGUAGAUUCAGAUGUAGUGAAUGUUACAUGUACUAUAUGGUGAGUGGCAUUAUUUUCAAGUACUUGCUCUAGUGAGCAGAGGUUUAGGAAGGAAGUUUGAAGAUUUAGAAAGAGAACUGGAAUUACUGCAUUCAACUGCUUAAAAGCUGUGGUAUUACCUCAGCAUUACUAUCCUGACAACACUCAUCAGAGAUGUCUGCUCCUACAGCCAGCCAGAACAGAGAUAUCUACCUGGUUAUACUCAUCUUGCAUGGAAGUCCAAGAGAAUUUGUCUACCCAUCUCCUGACACAGGCCCAAGUCAUGUAAAAUAUCCUCUAAUAUCACUUGUUCCUCAUUUGCAGACUGCUUUGCCCUUUUAUUUGUUUUAGUAGAAGGUUGUUCUCAUCGCUCUAAUGAUCAGGAAAGAUUUUCUACUUCUUCUGGAUUAAAUACGAACACAGAAUAUCUCAAACUACCUAGAGCAUCCAGAGCACCUAUAAUAUCAAUUUAUGUCUCACUGAAUAAAUAGCCCCAGGAGUGAAGCAGCCCAGACAUGUGGGUAGGACAGUCCCCCAGGGCACGAAGGUGUGGUGGGGACAGAAUCAUUGUCCCCACUGGUUUGAGAGCUCCCAGUUUUUGUAGGAAACCCUUGCUGGGCACAUAAGCUGCAGAAGUGCCUGAUGGUGAUGCUCUCUCUCACUCUCCUACAACAUGUGCACAAAGCCCAAGGAGCUCUGCUUUUUAUUGGAAGGUGAGGCACUUCCAAGGGUAAUAAAACAACCUGCAAGAACACACAACACACAUAAAAAUGCCAAAACCAGUUUGGUCUUGCACCUGAAAAUACAGAGACCGCUGGGGACCUACCUGGGGUUUUCUCUAGUGUGGUACAACGUGGUAUCACCUGGAGGCCAGCUGAGGGUUUCCUUGCUAACAGACAAAUAAAAUUCUUCAAAAGAGCCUGUUAAAUUAAAGCCUGCUACCGUGAUCUGAGCAGGUUUGCAGUCUGCAGCUGUGUGGCUCUUGUUUUGCAUCCUCCUGUGGCUGCUCAUGUGUUCUUCAUCCCUCAUGUAGAGCCUGGUGCUCUCCAGGACAAAUUGGGCCUGAUCACCCACCAUGUGUCACCCGGCCGCCCACCAGCGAGACACAGCUCAAUAAAAAGGCACCUGUAUUCUGUCCCUGUGCCCAUACCAUUAAAAAAAAUACCACUACCAUUAUUUGCAAUGGGGUCAAAGCAAUUUUCACAUCAAGGUCUUGCAAACAAAGGCAGGCCGUCAUCUACAAGGUAAAUAUUAACAACUCUUGGCUAUUUGUAACCUAAUGAAAUGCUUUUAUGGAAUAUUUCCUACCUCUGUGAAAGCCAGAUGUUGUUUGUGUUGGGUAUGAAUCUGUGGGUGUAUUAACUGCUGUAAGAUAAAACAAAACAAGGAAACAAACAGCGCAAAGCAAACAGUUCUUUAAUAUUUUCAUGUUAAGGAUGCAAUUUCAGCGCUGAAUAGGUUAAACAGGAUGGGUGUGCUCAGUUCAGCCCAACCUACAGCUUCAUAACACCAGAUGGAGAUUAUUGUUGGCUGAUAUAGCACUAAAAUUCUUAGUGAGUUUCCUGUAUUUUGGUUUUGUUGGGGGUUGUUGUUAUUUUUGUUUGUUUGUUUGUUGUUUGGGUUUUAUGGGACUUUUUGCCUUUUUCGUUUGUUUGUUUUUAGGAAGGGGAUUUAAACAACAACAACAAAAAGUUUACAUCACUAUUUUUUUCUCUUGAACCAAAACCAUUAGUCUGAAGUUUUGUUCAAUUUGACCUGGAGCAGCUUCAUUCAUGGUUCAACUCAAAUGGAAGCUGAAUUGAAAAAUGCAUUGGUUCCUCUCUCAGGGCUUUACUAGGUGUGGCUGUGCUACAAGACAUACAUUACUCCAAAGCCAGGAAGCUUUGCUUGAUCACAGACUGAAACAUGGAAAAAGAGAUAUUACGGUCCCCUUGACAAGACCUCAUUUGUCAUUUAAAGUCUGCUUCCAUUGAUUUAUUUAUUUUUCUACCAGACAACAAAAUUAAUAAGGAUCUGAUAUUAGCAUUCUUUGCUUGUCCCAAGCAGACACAUGGAAAACUGCUUGUAUGACACUACUGACACUACUCCAACACUUUUCAAAGUGCUAUGAAUAUUUAAUUAGAAUAGGCACUUUUGAAGUGCAGACACUUCCAUGGGCAUUUUGCUUCUGAGCUGUAGUUUCUUCCUAUUCGUAUGUAGAAAUCAGAUGAGUAUCCCAUUCAUUGCCCAGCCAGGUUUUUUUUUGUGAGAUCUCAUAGCCAAAAUAACAGCCUUAUUUAGGAGCUGCAUCAGUGUUUUAACAGGCUUACAAAAGGCAGCCCUGUAUCCCAUCUCAAUAUUGGCACUCAGGCUGCUUGGUUGGAAGCAGUGGCCUUGUAUACACGUAUACUUGCAAAGAUUUUCUGUUGCUGACAGAAAGAAAUCACUGUUCUUCUACUGAAUAAACAGGUCAUUGUGGAUGUCUCUCUUCCAUUGCCUCAGCCACUGCAGAAGUCCUUAUGUCAAGAGCUAAGAUAUAUUCCUUGGGUAUGGGGGUUGCUCUCAUUCAGUGAAGAGCUGACAAACAAAAUGUAGCAGGCUUUGCCCUAUGCUGAAGUUUAUUUGUAAAUGCUUGAAGGAGUGGGGUGCUUGUUUACGUCUUGUACUUCAGAAAAGUCCUCUUGAGAUUUAUUUUGUGUUCGUAUUGAAACAUUAGAUUCCUUCGUAAUGGCUGAGAGACAUCUGCAGUUCCCUCACGAGAGUAUGAACAUAAACCCAAGUUUGACUUGGCCAUCACAUUGGAGUCACCAUCACGACUUGAAACUGUUGCAUCUACACAGAGGCAGUAAGCAUGCUGUUCGCUUUUCAUUUGUGGGUUUUGAGAGCAGAACAUCGGCUGUACCAGUUUGUCCAUGCGACAUGGACACUUGUUCUCUUGUCCCACAAGUGAGUCCAGGGACUUGUGUUUGUUCACUGCAGGUCUUCCAGCAGACAUUGGCAUAAGACACUUCCCAAGAAUGACAGGAGGUGGAGAAUCCAGUCACUUCUCAUGGGAAAUUUUCCCAGAGUUUAUUUGUUCCUCCAUAAAAACAUGUCUGGUUUCAACUUGGCCAUGCCUCUGUCCACAAGAGCAGAGGGACUAUCAGUCUCAGUAUUUUUCUCUGUGUGAAAGAAUGUAUAGAGUGAAAUUAAUUCAUCUCUUGACCUUUAUUUUCAGUCUUCUUCUGAUAACCUAAGGUCUUGCUUCAUAAAUCCCUCAUUACAAAUUAUUUUCUUUGGCUGUGAAAAAAAUUUGCUGCAAUAAAAUCUUUUUUUUUCCCCUUGACCUCCCUCCCAUCUCAUAAUAUCGUUACUAAAAUGUGGAUUCUACAAACAGACACAAUAUUCCAGGGUCUGUCUAAUUAAAGCUUUUAAUGGAGGUAAAGUUGCUUCCCCCAGUCAGUCUUGCUGCUACUCUCUUUGUCCCUUAUAGAAGAAAUCACUUUCAUCUUGACAUUCACUUAGUGGGGGUAAAAUUUUACACAUGCCAAUGUGUCUCUGUGUGCAAUAUUAUAGAGAUACCAUGUUAUGAAAAGUUAUUAGAAGCAGCAUAUUUAAUCACUUGUAGUUGCAGUUAAAUCAUCGCUGAUGUGCCAGUGACACUGUGAGUAAAGGCUUGUCAGUGUUUCCAUUAUAUUUGUCUGUAUUUUGUAAUGUUUUAGAUUACAUUAAGAAGAAAAAUGCAGCAUUUCAUUUGCCAGACAGGAUGUAAAUGGCUUUGCAGUUUUCAAUAACGUUCUAAACCCGUAUUUUGUGCAAGAAGCAGCACAACAUUCCCACACAUGGGGUUAGCUAACUGUGAGGAGGACAGUUUUAUGGUUUUCUUUAUUUCUUUGAAAUGCAAUAAGAAAUUAUGAGGAUUUUCUUUCUGUUAUUUAAACGUUGCUUAAUCAGCGGUCUGACUCCUGUUUUAGUUGACAUCUCCUGGGAAUCACAGAGGACUCCAGCAGGCAGGUGCCCAGGUCUUCAGGAAAAUGUUUGACAUCUAAAAUAUUUAACAAUGGCACAUUUUCUCCCAAAUCUUUGUCAGCCAUUCAAAUAAAACAUUUGAUUAUA